CAUUACACAAAUAUGAAGGCGGGCUGGAAUCUCUCGGGGUUACAGCCUUGCUGAAUUAUUCACCCUUGUCUUUUGCGUACUUCUUGUUUCCUUGGUGGGUUCGCCCACCACUAGGACAAACAUAAACCUUUUGUAAUUGCAAUCAGCGUCAGUAACAAAUUAAUAAUUACAACUUUCAACAACGGAUCUCUUGGUUCUGGCAUCGAUGAAGAACGCAGCGAAAUGCGAUAAGUAGUGUGAAUUGCAGAAUUCAGUGAAUCAUCGAAUCUUUGAACGCACAUUGCGCCCUUUGGUAUUCCAAAGGGCAUGCCUGUUCGAGCGUCAUUUGUACCCUCAAGCUUUGCUUGGUGUUGGGCGUCUUGUCUCUAGCUUUGCUGGAGACUCGCCUUAAAGUAAUUGGCAGCCGGCCUACUGGUUUCGGAGCGCAGCACAAGUCGCACUCUCUAUCAGCAAAGGUCUAGCAUCCAUUAAGCCUUUUUUUCAACUUUUGACCUCGGAUCAGGUAGGGAUACCCGCUGAACUUAAGCAUAUC
rnacentral:rRNA from 1 species